AGCAGUAGGGAAUCUUCCGCAAUGGGCGAAAGCCUGACGGAGCAACGCCGCGUGAGUGAUGAAGGUCUUCGGAUCGUAAAACUCUGUUGUUAGGGAAGAACAAAUUUGUUAGUAACUGAACAAGUCUUGACGGUACCUAACCAGAAAGCCACGGCUAACUACGUGCCAGCAGCCGCGGUAAUACGUAGGUGGCAAGCGUUAUCCGGAAUUAUUGGGCGUAAAGCGCGCGUAGGCGGUUUCUUAAGUCUGAUGUGAAAGCCCACGGCUCAACCGUGGAGGGUCAUUGGAAACUGGGAAACUUGAGUGCAGAAGAGGAGAGUGGAAUUCCAUGUGUAGCGGUGAAAUGCGCAGAGAUAUGGAGGAACACCAGUGGCGAAGGCGGCUCUCUGGUCUGUAACUGAC
rnacentral:rRNA from 1 species